rnacentral:rRNA from 1 species
UACGUAGGGUGCAAGCGUUAAUCGGAAUUACUGGGCGUAAAGCGUGCGCAGGCGGUUUUGUAAGUUUGUCGUGAAAUCCCCGGGCUCAACCUGGGAAUGGCGAUGAAGACUGCAAGGCUAGAAUCUGGCAGAGGGGGGUAGAAUUCCACGUGUAGCAGUGAAAUGCGUAGAGAUGUGGAGGAACACCGAUGGCGAAGGCAGCCCCCCUGGGUCAAGAUUGACGCUCAUGCACGAAAGGCGC